AUGGUGGUGGCUAUGGUGUGUAGUUGUCGAUGUCGGAGAAAAAAGCAGGGGUUUGUAAAAAGGGUAACAAUAUUGUUUGAAGCAUACAAAGAAGAAGAUGCUUUGAAGUACUCUAAGCAUCCAAAUGUCUCAGAAUAUUGUGUUUUGCAGCAUCCAAGAAGAUUGUGCGAUCAAUAUAUAAUCUUACGCUCUUUUCUGAUACGCCACAUUCACACACAUGCAUCGAUUGUUGAGCUAAAUCUUUUGCUUUCUUAUUCUUAUAAAUCGUAUACAAGCUGCCAGGGAAUAUGCUCGUGA